CCUGCUCACUGAGAUUUAAAGAGCUGCAGUAAUUUAACUGUACAAAGGUAGCAUAAUCAUUAGUUUUUUAAUUGGGAACUGGUAUGAAAGGUUAGACGUGAAAUUAACUGUCUUUAGUAUGUUAUGAUGAAGUUGAUUUUUUUGUAAAAAAGCAAAAAUAGAAUAAAGGGACGAGAAGACCCUAUUAAAUUUUAAUGUUUAAUUUAUAAUUUUUAUAUAUGGGCUAUAAGUAAUAAUAUUUUGUUUGGGGCGAAUAGUAUUAAUAACAAUAUUUAAUAAUAAUAGUGUUAAAUAACAUUUGAUUGAUCUAAGAUGAUUAAAUAUAAGAAAAAAUUACUGUAGGGAUAACAGCGUAAUAUUUUUUAAGAGUUCAUAUUGACAAAAGUGUUUGCGACCUCGAUGUUGGAUUAAGAAGUCUAUUUGACGUAAAGGUUUUAUUAGAUGGUCUGUUCGACCGUUAAAUUCUUACAUGAUCUGAGUUCAGACCGGCG
rnacentral:rRNA from 1 species